AGAGUUUGAUCCUGGCUCAGAUUGAACGCUGGCGGAAUGCUUUACACAUGCAAGUCGAGCGGCAGCGCGGGGGCAACCCUGGCGGCGAGCGGCGAACGGGUGAGUAAUACAUCGGAACGUAUCCUGGAGUGGGGGAUAGCUCGGCGAAAGCCGGAUUAAUACCGCAUAAGCUCUGAGGAGGAAAGCGGGGGACCGUAAGGCCUCGCGCUGCAGGAGCGGCCGAUGUCGGAUUAGCUAGUUGGUGAGGUAAAGGCUCACCAAGGCGACGAUCCGUAGCUGGUCUGAGAGGAUGAUCAGCCACACUGGGACUGAGACACGGCCCAGACUCCUACGGGAGGCAGCAGUGGGGAAUUUUGGACAAUGGGGGCAACCCUGAUCCAGCCAUUCCGCGUGAGUGAAGAAGGCCUUCGGGUUGUAAAGCUCUUUCGGACGGAACGAAACGGUUACGGUGAAUAUCCGUGACUAAUGACGUACCGUAAGAGAAG
rnacentral:rRNA from 1 species